rnacentral:rRNA from 1 species
CCCUUAGAUGUUCUGGGCCGCACGCGCGCUACACUGAUGCAUUCAACGAGUUUCUUCCUGGUCCGAGAGGAAUGGGUAACCUUUUGAAAGCGCAUCGUGAUAGGGAUAGACUAUUGCAAUUAUUGGUCUUCAACGAGGAAUUCCUAGUAGACGUAGUUCAUCAGACUGCAUCGAUUACGUCCCUGCCCUUUGUACACACCGCCCGUCGCUCCUACCGAUUGAAUGCUCAGGUGAGCCAUUCGGACUUUCAUCAUGCUGGUUUCCAGUUUUGAUGAAGGAAAGUCUUGCGAACCUUAUCAUUUAGAGGAAGGAAAAGUCGUAACA